rnacentral:rRNA from 1 species
AUUGAACGCUGGCGGCAGGCCUAACACAUGCAAGUCGAGCGGAGCGGCGGACGGGUGAGUAAUGCCUAGGAAUCUGCCUGGUCGUGGGGGAUAACGUCCGGAAACGGGCGCUAAUACCGCAUACUAUCAGAUGAGCCUAGGUCGGAUUAGCUUGUUGGUGGGGUAAAGGCCUACCAGGGCGACGAUCCGUAACUGGUCUGAGAGGAUGAUCAGUAACACUGGAACUUAGACACGGUCCAGACUCCGACGGGAGGCAGCAGUGGGGAAUAUGGAACAAUGGGCGAAAGCCUGAUCCAGCCAUGCCGGGGUGGUGAAGAAGGUCUUCGGAUUGUAAAGCACUUUAAGUUGGGAGGCGUUACCAACAGAAUAAGCACCGGCGAACUACGUGCCAGCCGCCGCGGUAAUUC